CUAUCAUAUGUAAGAUUUAUUUGACUUGAGUUUAUUUGUGAAACUUGAUGGAAACUUCUUUCCAUUAUUCACACUGCCCUGGCAAAGAUCUUCCGAACUCAAUCUCAUAAAUUACAUAGGACUACUCUUUAACUACUAAAAUCGAUAGGUUCUAUCUAGAUACAUAUCCUAUUCUUACAAUGAAUCUACUGUAGCCAACAUACACCUUAAGACUCCAUAUGGCU
rnacentral:lncRNA from 1 species